AGAGUACAGGAGUAGAUUCACCAGUGAAGAGACUCUUAUGUUCUGCAUGCGAGUAAUGGUGGGAGUUAUUAUUCUGUAUGAUCACGUUCAUCCUGUGGGAGCUUUCUCAAAGACAUCAAAGAUUGAUAUGAAGGGAUGCAUAAAAGUUUUAAAGGAACAACCACCUGACACUGUGGAAGGACUUCUGAAUGCUCUCAGGUUCACUACAAAACACCUGAAUGAUGAAUCUACGUCAAAACAAAUUCGAGCUAUGCUGCAGUAGUAACCGGAGACAAGUAGAUGUUUGUAUUGAUCACAGAAGAUGUGUAUGUUUACAUAAUUUAAUACAGUUUGAUGUUAAUACUUGUGUGUAUUUACAUAACCAUUUUCUUCACAUUGCUAAAAUAUAUGAAUCUGUUCAUAACCUGACUGACUUUAUAUAGUGCAGCCUAUGUUUUUAUGCUAGCCUUUAUCUUUUGACUUUUAAAAUACUUUUUUUACUUAGAUACUUCAGCUACGACAGUUUUUCUGUGCAUUUUAAUCCUUGAACACCUUCUGUAUCAGAGAAGUAAGUAGUAGUGAAGACAAAAUGGAAAUCAAGUAAACUGAAAUGUCAAAGAUACCACAGAAAAAGAACUUCAAAGAAGGAGAAAGUUAAUAUAAGCAAAAGUCAAACUCAGUGGAUAUGUUUUAAGAACAUGUGCACAGUUUUUUAGUCAGUUAGUUUUAGGAUCUCAUGUAUGAAUAGGAGAAUACCUGAACGUUCAUCACUCUCAUUAAAUACAUUGUCUUUCCUGUAAUAAGAGGAGAUCCACCUGAUUUUAAAGACUCUGUGCUGGCUGACGUCCAAAAACAUAUUGCAAAGAAGUCAUUUUACCUUUCUUAUUAAGUAUAACCUGUACCUUUCAACAAUUGAGGAAAUUAAUAUCCUUUUUCAGAUUCAAUAUAAAUAAACAGAACAUCUUUUAAGAUCACUGCUAGAUUUUGAAAAUUCUGUGUAAUUUUAUUA